rnacentral:lncRNA from 1 species
CACAAAGGGCCGUCCUGCCAGCUGGGAAAUUGCUGGAGCAUGCCGAGUGCCGGGGCCGGAGGAAGGAGUGAAAUCAAGUUUAUGCACUUGUCAGGGGAGCUGAGGUGCGGGAGCGGAUCCAGCCCCUCUGCGCAGCUGUUACAGUCCCGACAGCACCCGGGUGGCACAGCCCUGACAGCUCAGGUCCUUGCACCUCUGCUGGCAUGGGAACGUGCCUGUUGGAUCAUGGGCAGAAGCGCACACCGGCUCUGGGUGGAGCUGAAUACAAUGCCCACAUUUGUGGUUAGCUACAAGCAAAACAUUAUGAAGAUGAUGGUAUUCAGACACAUACUCAAACAACUGGAUUCAGACAAACAGGAUGCAAGACUGACCAACAAGAGAAGAACAGGCAUUAUGCAGACCAGCAGCAUUACAGACCUGCUGGAAGAGCUUAGCAGAAGAGCCAACGCUGCACUGAUGAUGUUUGAACAGAGGCCUGUGGUGGUCCAGCUUGUUGGAAACUUUUGUGUUCAAACCAGAAGGAUGCUGUAGAUGGAGCUAAUCUGAUUCUUGAAUCCCACUGAGGAUGCACAGAGCUGAUCUCUGAGUCUGUGAUAUCUGCUGCCACU